GCCCGUCUGAGGGUCGGCG
rnacentral:rRNA from 2 species